AUUGAACGCUGGCGGCAUGCUUUACACAUGCAAGUCGAACGGCAGCGCGGGCUUCGGCCUGGCGGCGAGUGGCGAACGGGUGAGUAAUGCAUCGGAACGUGCCCAGCAGUGGGGGAUAGCCCGGCGAAAGCCGGAUUAAUACCGCAUACGACCUGAGGGUGAAAGAGGGGGACCGAAAGGCCUCGCGCUAUUGGAGCGGCCGAUGUCGGAUUAGCUAGUUGGUGGGGUAAAGGCUUACCAAGGCGACGAUCCGUAGCUGGUCUGAGAGGACGACCAGCCACACUGGGACUGAGACACGGCCCAGACUCCUACGGGAGGCAGCAGUGGGGAAUUUUGGACAAUGGGGGCAACCCUGAUCCAGCCAUGCCGCGUGCGGGAAGAAGGCCUUCGGGUUGUAAACCGCUUUUGUUCGGGAAGAAAUCCUCUGGGCUAAUACCCCGGGGGGAUGACGGUACCGGAAGAAUAAGCACCGGCUAACUACGUG
rnacentral:rRNA from 1 species